GUCAUUAUGGCCGAGUGGUCUAAGGCGCUGCGUUCAAGUCGCAGUCCAUUUGUGUGGGCGUGUGUUCGAAUCCCACUUAUGUCU